GCAUUGGUGGUUCAAUGGUAGAAUUCUCGCUUGCCAUGCGAGACAUCUGGGUCCGAUUCCCAGCCAGUGCA
rfam:Gasterosteus aculeatus cont1.010493, whole genome shotgun sequence.